CCAGGAGGUCUGGAAUGUUGAGAAGCCAGAAGAUUCUGAGAUUUCAGUUAGAUCUCUCAGCCUUGAGAAGCCUAGGAUGGAGGUCUGGCCAAAACUUUCUCCUGAGGAGAUACUCACCUUUUUCUCUCAUGAAGAGAACAUGGAGCAAGAGGUGAGCCCCUGAGGCAGACAAGGAACAAACUGGGAGAAUGGGAAGGAGGCAAGGAAGAAGAAGCUGGAGUGACCAUGACUACAAGUGAUAUGGAAGGGGAGCAGAAGUUGAAACGCCCUUAGAGGGACUGUGACCAGGCAAUAAGGAACCUACAUAGACUAAAUACAGAUCUGCUGAAUAAUUGUUUAUGUUACUCAGACCAAAAAUGGUGAUCCUUCCCUUUACUCCCAUAUUCUUGCUCUCUCAGGAACCCAGCUUAUUUUUCUAGCCUCUAUAUCUUAAGAGUUUGUUUUGCUUUCCUUCUCAAUUGUUUUGAAAACUGGCUUCACGAAGAUAAAGAAGUUAACCAUUGUUUUAUUCAUCUCUUUACUCAAAGGCAGCUGAAAGAAAGGCAAUGAGGAAUGAAGUACUAAGUGGAGGGGGGAGGGUAGAGGAAGGAGUGUUAGAGAGAAGGGAGAAAAGAGUUUUAAAAGAGUGAGGGAGAAGAGAAAGGCAAGAGUGAGAGAAAAGGAGAGAGAAGAGAAGAGGAAAAUCAAAGAGAGAUAUGAGAAAGAAAGAGUAAGAGGGAGAAGAGAAAAGAGAGACAGAAACAGAAAAAUAUAGACAGAGAGAGAGAAAUGGAAAGAGACAGAAAGAGAACUCUUGGAACGCUUCCUGGUAUUGGGAUUUGGAGUUGAAGAAAGGAAAAUUAUCUAUUUUAAUAACUUCUCAGAGUAAUGAGAAAAAUGUGGUUCUGGAUUAUUCCUUAGCAAACAAAACUAGCAGCUUGUUGGAACUGGAACACACUGGAGUUGCUGACGUGAUGUGACUCUCCAGGAAUUUUCCUGGAGUGAAUAGAAAGUUAUGCCCAAGGGAUAGAACUAAAAAAGGGUAGUGAAGCACACUUGGAAGGGGGGGGCCUAAAACAGAAAAUAAUCAGCCCUCUACUCAUCAGCACAAUAGCAUCUACCCAAGUAAUUGUUAGACUGGGCCUGACACCACAUGCAUUUCCUAUAAUACAUCUUUUUUUUUAAACCCUUAUCUUCAUUUUAGAAUCAAUACUGUUUGUUCCCUUUCUUUCCUUUCCUUCAGGGAUCAAAGUUAGUCUUUAUAAUUACAUAAUGUUUAGAUUUAUGUUUUUUUUUUCUAUUUACAUUGCUGUAGUCGGAUAUAUUAUUCUCCUUUUUAUAGGUACAUAAAAUUUUUAAUUUUGCCUUUACAAUUUAUUCAGUUGUUAUAUGAUCACACAGCAUUCAAAUAUGCCUCAAUGGAGACAGUUAGUUUAUUAAAGAUCAUGGGUCCUUCAGGUAUGCUAUGUUUUUGUUAUCAUUUGCUACAAGAGCCUCUCUGUUCUCUUAAGUCCAAAAGUCAUUCAGAUCAAUUAGAAUGAUAUUGACUGUGUCUCCUUGGUUACUAUUGAUUAAAUCCUGAAGGAAUAUUUUCAAAGGAUCCUUAGCUUUUACCAUGUCAAAGAUUUCAUUCUUGACAUCUUGAAAUGAAAUAGGAUAUUGUCCAUGGAUUUUUAUUCAUUCCUGAAUAGUCCUGAAGAAAUAAUUAAGAGAAAAGACAUUCAGAUAUCUUCUGUUCUCUAAAUCAAGCGAUUUGAAAAUAUACUACAAUGCUACAGGUUCUUUUUGGUUUUCUAAUGCUAGCACAGAGUCUACAUAGGUUGUAUAAUCCAUUUCUCCAUCAUAUGUAAGGCACUCUUGGAAGACACAAUCUAAAAAGACAUUGGUCAUAAUUGCUGUUCCAUAUUAAGAGAGUUCUUCCUUCCUUAAUUUUUACUCUCUGUCAUAAUAACAAUUCUUAAAACAGAAAGGCAAGGGCUAGGCAAUGGGAGUUAAGUGACUUGCCCAGGGUCACAGAGCUAGGAAAGAUCUAAAGUCAUAAUUGAACCCACAACCUCCCAUCUACAGGACUGCCUCUAUCCACUAAGCCACCUACAUUCCCUUGUAGCUAUUCUUUUUUACAUUUAUUUUAUUCAUACAGUAUAAUCUGCAUAUAUGUCUUUGUUAUAUUUGUUAUAUCAGAUCUUCUGAUGUAAGGGCUCCAUGUAAGGAAGGAUUGUUUUGCUUAUUGUAUUUGUGUUCCUAAAGCCUGGCAUAGUACAAAGGCUCACCUUGUAUAAGGUGAGCACUUAUUAAAUGCUUGUUAAUUGAAAAAAAAAAAAACAAACCCAACACAAUUAUGGUGUUUCCACUUCCAUAAUCCAUCCUCCACUUAGCUGUCAAAAUGUCACUCCCUACUCAAUAAACUCCAAUGGCUCCAAGAUCA
ensembl:lncRNA